AUGAGUAAUAUUAGAUAUAGAUUAAAGGUAUUCAAGUUUCAUAUUGUUGAAAUUAUCAGAGGAGGACUUUCCACUACCUUCAGAUACGGACCCUCCAUUACCUGCAAAUGCACAUUGCACAAAUGACUCCAAAAUGUAUUGAGGAGAAUAUUUUUCUAUUACACUUGUAGUAAGCUAUCAUUGUAUCUUUUUCAUUCAUUUUUGUUGUCCAUAAAUACUGGAUGUAUUUGUAUAGAAAAUACAUCGAAUAUUUUUUGUCAUAUCAUUUCUUCGUCUCUACUUCAUCUCCUCUGCAUCUUUUUUAUCAUGUAUCAAAGAGCCAUGAGUGAAGCAAACCCAGAUUCAAUUUCAUCCACCAAACCUCAACCCGAACCCAACACUCAAAAUCAAAACACCCAAAAUCAUGACAGUAAUCAUCACCAUCCCGCAAGUCUAUAUUUUCUUCAACCCGGUGAAGGAGCUUCCUCACUGCUAGUGCCAGAGCUUCUGACGACUGAAAACUAUGUCACCUGGGCAAGGACUAUGUGAAGUGCUCUCAACAUCAGAAACAAACUUGGUUUCAUUGAUGCAAACUAAAAGGGUACUGGGAUGAGCUCGACGUAUAUGAACCAAUGCCUCUAUGUACAUUUGGCUCAGUCAAGACCUUGACAGACUAUCAUCAUCACAACAAAGUCAUGCAAUUUCUCAUGAGACUUCAAGAUUCAUAUGACCACAUCCGAGGUCAAAUACUCAUAUAUGACCCCCUUCCAACACUGAACCAUGUCCUAUCUCUAGUCCAACAAGAAGAAAGACAUCACCAGCUGCACUUGCUUCCACUUCUAGUGCCAGCAGCCAUGCUCUCUAAGGGUCCACACCAACGAAGCACCUCAACUUCACGCAGGGACAAACUCUAUUGCUCUCAUUGCAACAUCUCUGGACACUCCUUGGAAAGAUGUUUCAAGGCCAAUCCAAGCUUAUCAGUUUGCUCACAUUGCCACAUUCUUGGCCAUAAGAAAGAAAAAUGUUACAAGCUCAAUGGUUUUCCUCCUGGACACAAACAUUCCUUCAAAUAUAGAAUAUCUACUAAUCAAGUUAUUCUUGCAUAGGGAUAGGUCAAUACUGGUUCGAUCAUUACUCAAGAACAAUAUAGCCAUCUCAUUGUUUUACUUCAAAAUCAACCACCUGAGGCCAUUCUUCCUAUUGGCAACCAAGUCCAAAUCUCUUUUCCUAUAGUCGACUCUCCUAUGUCUGGUAUAGAUUUUUGUCUAGCUACACAGCAUGUUGAUCCAGCAUGUAUCAUCAAUACCAAUGCAACAAAUCACAUGAUUUGUAGCCCAUGUUGAUCCACAAUGGUAAUUCUGUAGGUGCCACUCACGUUGGAGAUGUGUGUUUAACACCUGAACUAACUUUAAAAAAAGUGCUCUAUGUUCCCACA